UACGGGGGGGGGGGCAAGCGUUGUUCGGAAUUACUGGGCGUAAAGGGCCAGUAGGCGGCCAACUAAGUCCGACGUGAAAUCCCAAGGCUUAACCUUGGAACUGCGUCGGAUACUGGAUGGCUUGAAUUCGGGAGAGGGAUGCAGAAUUCCAGGUGUAGCGGUGAAAUGCGCAGAUAUCAGGAGGAACACCGGUGGCGAAGGCGGGUCUCUGGGCCGAUACUGACGCUGGAGGAGCGAAAGCGUGGGGAGCAAACAGG
rnacentral:rRNA from 1 species